rnacentral:rRNA from 1 species
UACGUAGGUGGCAAGCGUUGUCCGGAUUUACUGGGCGUAAAGGGCGUGCAGGCGGUCUGUUAAGUGCAGGGUGAAAGCUCCCGGCUCAACUGGGAGAGGUCCUUGCAUACUGGCGGACUUGAGGGGGGUAGAGGAAAGUGGAAUUCCCGGUGUAGUGGUGAUAUGCGUAGAUAUCUGGAGGAACACCGGUGGCGAAGGCGGCAUCCUGGACCAACACUGACGCUGAGGAGCGAAAGCCAGGGGAGCAAAGCGGGG